AGCAGGAGCAGAGAGCAGCCAUUGCUGUGUCUGGCAGCAGGCAAUGAUAUUAUUAUUAUUAUUCUAUAGGCUGAGCAGCUCUGGUGUCAGGUUGCUGUACUACAGGGGGAGCGGCCUAUGUUGUCCAAUUAUACAGGGGGGCAGCAUGUGACAUACUACUUUACAGAUGGAGAGGCUUGCGGUGUCCAACUAUACAGGGGGAGUGGCCUGUGACAUCCUAUUAUACAACUGGAGCGACCUGUGUUGUCCUAUUAUACAGGGGGGAGAAACCUGUGGCAUUCUGCUGUACAAGAGGAGAGGCCGGUGGUGUCUUGUUAUUAUUAUACAGGAUUUGGAGCAAAGGAACGCUGGUAGCCGCAGCCGCUGGAACGUGGAUGUCUGACCAAUGGAAUGCAAGUCGGAAGAGGCUAAAGAGCACUACAGGUGUGCAUUGUUUAAAGGCAUCAAUUAAAAAGCAGGGUUUAAAAGCAAAUCCUGGGCAGUACAAUAUCCUUACUGUCUGAGGAAGCCGCUUAUUACUCACAGCGAGAGGCGGGGAAACGCGUUACAGGAUACCUCCUGCAUACACCUGUUCCCGUGAUUAUCGGUACCCACGCUACAUAUGGGAAUUCGGGACUCGGAGGUUGCAUAUAGUGCUGUUUUGGAAUUCUUUGAACUAAUAUCUAAUUGCGGGUAUCGUCUUUUUCCAAUAUAUUUAUAAAAAGUAUUUAAAGACUAUGGUAUGAUGUGAGGUGUUUUUAAUAUAUGGCCAUAUGUUUGUAUUAAUAAAUUGUUAAUUUUUGUUUUA